UAGGGAAUCUUCCACAAUGGACGCAAGUCUGAUGGAGCAACGCCGCGUGAGUGAAGAAGGCUUUCGGGUCGUAAAACUCUGUUAUUGAAGAAGAACGUGUGUGACAGUAACUGGUCAUGCAGUGACGGUAUUCAAUCAGAAAGUCACGGCUAACUACGUGCCAGCAGCCGCGGUAAUACGUAGGUGGCAAGCGUUGUCCGGAUUUAUUGGGCGUAAAGCGAGUGCAGGCGGUCUUUUAAGUCUGAUGUGAAAGCCUUCGGCUUAACCGAAGAAGGGCAUCGGAAACUGGGAGACUUGAGUGCAGAAGAGGAGAGUGGAACUCCAUGUGUAGCGGUGAAAUGCGUAGAUAUAUGGAAGAACACCAGUGGCGAAGGCGGCUCUCUGGUCUGUAACUGACGCUGAGGCUCGAAAGCGUGGGUAGCAAA
rnacentral:rRNA from 1 species